UCUAGGUGGCAUGCUCUUUCCAGUCUCUUCUCUGCGGACUGCGGCGCGGAGCCUGCGCCAGCCCUCUGCGGCGUGAGCCCCCGGCAGUUCGGAGCUCCAGCAACUUCCUCCAGAAGUGUUUUGAAUCGUCCACUUUCCCCUGACACAAAAGAGAAUAAUAAGCAACGUAAACAUGUAAAGACAUCCAGAGAUGGGACGAGAGAGAACAAACAAUGGGGAGUGGCAAGAAGGUAAAAAGGAAGCUAUCAGCACAUUUAAAAGAAGAACUCUAAGCUCUUCCUCAUUGAGAAUCAAGCAGCAAUUGUAGACUGAAAAGCGUUUGUUCCUCGUGCAUUCGGGCAACAGUGACUGUGAUCUGCUCCUGUGAGCAGCAGUGGGGCAGGCGGCUCAUGGCGUCACCUCUUAGGCAUUUAGAGAUGGAAUUUGUGAUCAUCUGACUAUUUCAACAUUUAAAAUGAUUAAGACAAAUA